AUUGAACGCUGGCGGCAGGCUUAACACAUGCAAGUCGAGCGGGGUGAUGGUGCUUGCACUAUCACUUAGCGGCGGACGGGUGAGUAAUGCUUAGGAAUCUGCCUAUUAGUGGGGGACAACAUCUCGAAAGGGAUGCUAAUACCGCAUACGUCCUACGGGAGAAAGCAGGGGAUCACUCGUGACCUUGCGCUAAUAGAUGAGCCUAAGUCGGAUCAGCUAGUUGGUGGGGUAAAGGCCUACCAAGGCGACGAUCUGUAGCGGGUCUGAGAGGAUGAUCCGCCACACUGGGAAUGAGACACGGCCCAGACUCCUACGGGAGGCAGCAGUGGGGAAUAUUGGACAAUGGGGGGAACCCUGAUCCAGCCAUGCCGCGUGUGUGAAGAAGGCCUUAUGGUUGUAAAGCACUUUAAGCGAGGAGGAGGCUCUUUUGGUUAAUACCCAAGAUGAGUGGACGUUACUCGCAGAAUAAGCACCGGCUAACUCUGUGCCAGCCGCCGCCGUAA
rnacentral:rRNA from 1 species